rnacentral:rRNA from 1 species
AGUGGGGACUAUACUGGGGUUGUUCCACCCGAUCCCAUUCCGAACUCGGAAGUGAAAUACCCCAAGGCCGAUGAUAGUGCAAUUUUGCGCGAAAGUAGGUAGUCCCCACUU